ACGUGGUGCAAUUGGCUAGACACACUACCUUGAGGUGGUAGCGCCGCAAGGCAUGCGGGUUCGACUCCCGCCGUCCGCA
rnacentral:tRNA from 1 species